rnacentral:rRNA from 1 species
AAACGCUUGAAGUCAGUCGCGUUGUGCGGGAUUCAGCCUGGCUUUUGCUUGGUUUACUUCCUGUAUGACGGGUCAGCAUCAAUUUUGAGCGGUGGAUAAGGGCGUAGGGAAUGUGGCAUCUUCGGAUGUGUUAUAGCCUUGCGUCGUAUACAUCGCUUGGGAUUGA